rnacentral:sRNA from 1 species
GCCAGGCACGAUGGUGCACGCCUGUAAUCCCAGCAACUUGGGAGGCUGAGGCAGGAGGAUCGCAAGUUUGAGACCAUCCUCAGCAACUUAGUGAGACCCUGUCUCAA